UACGUAGGGUGCGAGCGUUAAUCGGAAUUACUGGGCGUAAAGCGUGCGCAGGCGGUUUUGUAAGACAGAUGUGAAAUCCCCGGGCUUAACCUGGGAACUGCAUUGGUGACUGGCGGGCUAGAGUAUGGCAGAGGGGGGUAGAAUUCCACGUGUAGCAGUGAAAUGCGUAGAGAUGUGGAGGAAUACCGAUGGCGAAGGCAGCCCCCUGGGCCAAUACUGACGCUCAUGCACGAAAGCGUGGGGAGCAAACAGG
rnacentral:rRNA from 1 species